rnacentral:lncRNA from 1 species
AUGUUUUGCCUUUUCUUUUGCUCAUUGUUCCCUAAAGCCACAUAUUUGUUUUAUGAUUUUCCACCUUCACAUGCCAUUUCUUCUUAUUCUCCCCAGAUGCCUCAUUGCUAUGUCUCUCCCUUUUUUCUCCAGCAUCUUACUUGCUGUUGGAAGUCUGGCUUGACCCAAUGUGAGGCCCUCUUCUCCAUUCCAGAUCCAGGACACCAUUCCCUGAAGGAGCCAUCAGGGGCCUGUGGGAUAGAGGCCAUUGCCGGGGAUGCCCUGAUAGAGGUCCUUCAACAAAUAACAAGUAAGAGGCUGCAGUUUCUGCAACGAGAGAUGAUGGGGCUGAAAUGUCAGCAGGACAGACCAGGAUGGAAGAUCAAUCACGGAGCGGUUCCCCAUGCUGUGAGCUCCCCCAGGCAAAGGCUGUACCUUUUGUUUUCCUCAGCACCUCUCUUAAAACCCAGAACAAUGUCCAGAGGAGAACAGGCAUUCAGACCCUAUUUCCAUCUCUAUUCUGGGACCAUGUGGAAUCAGAGAUAAAUUAGACCACAUCUUUGUCCUAGGAGUUCACAGUCAAGCUGAGGCGGACAGACUGACAAAUUGAUAAAUGCUUCAACAUUGGUAGGUGCUAUAAAUAAUUGUGGUCCUGAAGUCUACAUGAAAUUUGGAGAACACUGGAGGGAGCCUAGAGGGUGGUUAAGGAUGGAUUGAGUCAGGCCAGGCUUCCUAGAGAGUCGUUGCUUCCUUCAGCUAAAUCUUGUAGUGUGCAGGGGCUGGCCAGGCACAGAUCUGUACAAAGAUGCAGGGCGGCUAAGCAAGGCACAACGUAUCUCUAGAAUAAAUUGGAAUAAGAUGCCA